rnacentral:rRNA from 1 species
CUCGGGAACUGAGUCUAACCGCGAUAAGUGAGGAUUUCUGGAAUGGUUCCUGACUAAAAUCUAUAUGGCCUCUGGAUUGGACUGCGGCCGAUCAGGCUGUUGGUGAGGUAAUGGCCCACCAAACCUGUAACCGGUACGGGCUCUGAGAGGAGGAGCCCGGAGAUGGGCACUGAGACAAGGGCCCAGGCCCUAUGGGGCGCAGCAGGCGCGAAACCUCUGCAAUAGGCGAAAGCCUGACAGGGUUACUCUGAGUGACUUUCGCUAAGAAAGUCUUUUGGCACCUUUAAAAAGGGUGCAGAAUAAGGGGUGGGCAAGUCUGGUGUCAGCCGCCGCGGUAAUACCAGCACCCCGAGUGGUCGGGACGAUUAUUGGGCCUAAAGCAUCCGUAGCCGGUUCUGCAAGUCCCCCGUUAAAUCCAGCUGCUCAACAGAUGGGCCGCGGAGGAUACUCCAGAGCUAGGAGGCAGGAGAGGCAAGCGGUACUCAGUGGGUAGGGGUAAAAUCCGUUGAUCCAUUGAAGACCACCAGUGGCGAAGGCGGCUUGCCAGAAUGCGCUCGACGGUGAGGGAUGAAAGCUGGGGGAGCAAACCGGAUUAGAUACCCGGGUAGUCCCAGCCGUAAACGAUGCAGACUCGGUGAUGGGUUGGCUUCGCGCUAACCCAGUGCCGCAGGGAAGCCGUUAAGUCUGCCGCCUGGGUAGUACGGUCGCAAGACUG